rnacentral:rRNA from 1 species
CCUACGGGAGGCAGCAGUAGGGAAUAUUGCACAAUGGGGGAAACCCUGAAGCAGCAACGCCGCGUGGAGGAUGAAGGUUUUCGGAUUGUAAACUCCUUUUGUUAGAGAAGAUAAUGACGGUAUCUAACGAAUAAGCACCGGCUAACUCCGUGCCAGCAGCCGCGGUAAUACGGAGGGUGCAAGCGUUACUCGGAAUCACUGGGCGUAAAGAGCGCGGAGGCGGGAUAGCAAGUCAGAUGUGAAAUCCUAGGGCUUAACCAUAGAACUGCAUUUGAAACUGUUAUUCUAGAGUAUGGGAGAGGUAGGUGGAAUUCUUGGUGUAGCGGUAAAAUCCGUAGAGAUCAAGAGGAAUACUCAUUGCGAAGUCGACCUGCUAGAACAUAACUGACGCUGAUGCGCGAAAGCGUGGGGAGCAAACAGGAUUAGAUACCCCUGUAGUC